CCUACGGGAGGCAGCAGUAGGGAAUCUUCGGCAAUGGGGGGAACCCUGACCGAGCAACGCCGCGUGAACGAAGAAGUUAUUCGUAAUGUAAAGUUCUUUUAACAGGGAAGAAAGAGAAAUUUGACGGUACCUGAAGAAUAAGCUCCGGCUAACUACGUACCAGCAGCCGCGGUAAUACGUAGGGAGCGAGCGGUAUCCGGAAUUAUUGGGCGUAAGGGGUGCGUAGAUGGCAUAGUAAGUCUUUUGUAAAAAUGCUGGGCUCACCCCAGUAGGGAAAAAGAUACUGGAAAGCGAGAGUAUGACAGAGGCAAGUAGAACUACAGGUGUAGCGGUAAAAUGCGUAAAUAUAUGGAAGAACACCAGUGGCGAAGGCGGCUUGCUGGGUCGAUACUGACAUUGAGGCACGAAAGCGUGGGGAGCAAACAGGAUUAGAUACCCGGGUAGUC
rnacentral:rRNA from 1 species